GCUGUAAUUCCUUAUCUAUGGAAAGAAGAAUUGGAUGAGUGAGCAACGCCACAACUACAGGGCCUGUUCUUUCUCUUCUCAUAAUUUAACUGGAUUAUCCGUUGAAUUUGUUUCUUCCUCU